rnacentral:lncRNA from 1 species
UGUCUCUUUGUUAUUUUAUUAUUGUUCUUUGCGGAAGACGUUGCGAGGGAAGAGUUGUUUCAGAUAUGUGCUUCCAACAAAACAUCACACAUAAGAGUAAUUAGAUUUGCCUAUGGGCUGAGUCUCCAUCGUAAAAAACGUCUUUUUGUGUUAUACUUUGCGGUAAGAAUAAUUUAGAGCUGUGUUAUACUCGUACCAUCAC